rnacentral:rRNA from 1 species
AUGUCAGACGCCAGUCAGAAUAAUCUGUGUAAUUAUACUGCGCAUACAAUUGAUUCGGUACAGCGCUUGGUAUUGGGUAUCUCAACAAUUAUAAGGGCUGGUGCAUGGUUCAACUCGAGAUGCAAUGAAACGAAACAUGGGCCAACUGAUACUAAAACACAUGCAAGUUCCAGUUGGGCAGAGUUGAAGGGAAUUAUUUGCACGGGAUUGGAACUCAGGCACUACAAACCAUGGGAGAAUUCAGAGACCCCCUACCUAAAAUUAUUGGCACUUAUUCAAGUACAACAAUCAGGUUCUCAUUUUUGGCCAGUGAAGUUUCUAUCCACCGAUGUUUAUGCACAUGAAGCUUGGUACUACUGCAUUCCUGACACUUGUAUCAGGAGAACCCUCAUGGGAAUUGUGGACUCUUGUUCAGCGAGAAUGUCUAUCCCCGCUAUACUUGAAGAUGCUUCAGGGCAUCACUGUGAGGUUCCCAUCUGUGCAAUUAUACAGGCCGAUGGUGAUCAGUGCAAGUGUGAGUGGAAACUACAAUGCUCUUUAAGCAAAUGGCCAGAUGAAGUUGGAAGAGGCCAGAAUGGCGACUACUGUAUCCCCUUGGAUUGUUAUGCAUGGGGACUGCUGCAUCCUAAUUGCUAUAAAGAAGUUACUCAAGGAGGGAGGGGCGACGGAGCUCAUGCUGGGCAUGUUUGCUGCAUCUACUACACUUACUACGGUGAUCAAGACCCAGGUGGCCAUAACAACUACCUCGACACCUCCCGUCGGCAAGCCUUCGUUGGCCACCACUACUACCUCUACGGCGUUGAAGUCUACAUCAACUACAGCUACCACUGUGACUUCGACCAUGCCAAGCAACAUCGAGUGCAAUGGGACCCGGGUGGUUGUCGGCGGAGGCGGCUUGGGGUCAAGCCGCAUCUCAUUGAGGGGGGAUGUUAG